rnacentral:rRNA from 1 species
AGUCGGGAAUUUUGGGCAAUGGGCGAAAGCCUGACCCAGCAACGCCGCGUGAGGGAUGAAGGCCCUCGGGUCGUAAACCUCUGUCGGGAGGGAAGAACGGUGACCGUUCGAACAGGACGGUGGCCUGACGGUACCUCCAAAGGAAGCACCGGCUAACUCCGUGCCAGCAGCCGCGGUAAUACGGAGGGUGCAAGCGUUGUUCGGAAUCAUUGGGCGUAAAGCGCGUGUAGGCGGCUUGGCAAGUCGGUUGUGAAAGCCCGGGGCCCAACCCCGGAACUGCAUCUGAAACUGCCUGGCUAGAGUCCCGGAGAGGAAGGCAGAAUUCCCGGUGUAGGGGUGAAAUCCGUAGAUAUCGGGAGGAAUACCAGCGGCGAAGGCGGCCUUCUGGACGGUGACUGACGCUGAGACGCGAAAGCGUGGGGAGCAAA